rnacentral:lncRNA from 1 species
UAGGCUGUGCAAAAUGGAUUAUUUCAUAUGGAAAACAUUUAACAGGUACAAUUUUAGCAUUGUUGGUAAAAAAAAAAAAAAAUCCUGAUUUUGGUGAUAAAAGUAUGAUUAUUUCAUGUGAUACAAAAUUUUUAAAGUUGUACUGUUAAAUAUAACUUUCAUAACAUCACACCAACUAGAACACAUGUUAAGGCAUUUUAUCUUUUCAUACUAAACACAGUCUUUGGGUGCACUUACAGACCCACACACACUUCGUCUAAUUAAAGUCCCUCUCAGAACCACGUGGGCAUUUAAAGCUUUGUUGGCCCGAUUAUGAAAUCUGUUGCACCUGUUUGGGUGGAAAAGUCACCACAUCAUCUUCAUUCUUAUUGGUCCAUGAAGUUUGGUGACAUUGUGUAAUUGCAGCGUAGCUCCGCCCAUCUUCAACCCGAGCAGAGAUCUACUCAGCCAGCCUGAGAGUGAACACCUGUGUGGGGGUGCAGCAGGGCCUUUACACAGGACUGAGACUCUCCUCAGUGUGUGACUGCAGGAGUCUGACUGAGCUUCUUCUGCCAUCUAGUGGACGUUUGUACACACUGCAGGAGUCAGGGAGAACAGUGAAGCGUCUGCAGCUGAGCUGUACAUGCGAUCGGGUCUGAAGCUGAUAAUCAACCAUCGG